rnacentral:lncRNA from 1 species
CUCAAGUGCUGUAAAAAAAAAAAAACACUGGCUGAAAAUGCUAAGGGCUUUUUAAUGCAACAUGCAAAUAACAUUUGAGCAGCAGAAGACAGCUAGAGAUAGGAAAGGGCACUUGCGUCAGUCCAUUUUAGAAAUCACAGUUCAGGAUCGACCAUAGCUGAGCAGCUCUGGUGCACUUAGUGCCCUUUGAACCUGUUAGGUUAUUGCAGCACCCUAUAUAUGAGUAGCACCUGUCUUCUCUGAGACACUUGUAAUGCUGAACACAACCAAAGUGGCAGUGAGAAGAUGUGUCACCCACAACAGAAUUUGUACAUAUACUAAUAUAUGCCCUGUUAUUCCAUAAGUUCCAUCACAGAACUGUAAAAGAUCACAGUUUUGGUACCAGCACUUCUCAGAAAGGAUGGCAGGAGAUGUGCAAGGUGUUUUUGGUAAUGCAGUUACUUGUUUGGCAUUAUACCAGCCAAAAGAUUUUUUUAUUUCUUCCUGCAGCCAUUCACCUCUAGCUCCCGCACCACAAUAACUGGGUGUGUGAGGCAGGCAGCCACUGCCUGAGUGCAGCCCCAGAGGCAGGAAGCCUCUGGCAGCACCCCACACUGCCCUCUCCUGUGGGGUGAUGGCCACUGCUGACUGGCUCUCAGUUGGGCCCUUCCAGGUCAAGUGUGCAGUGACAUAGGCUAGCGAAUGGGAUCCCAGAUACCUGGCUCACAGCCCCAAGAUUACAGUGCCAUCACAGUGCCAUCAGCUGAAAGAAGAGGAAGAAGGAAUUUCCUCGCUUUCUUAUCCAGACCUCUGUGGGACGGCCAAUGUCAGCUGGGAUUUUCAAUCUGCUUUCAAGUACUGACCAGCUUCCAGCUUUGCAAGCCAUUCAUCUGGUCUCUCAAAAGGAAGUGGAAGAACCCUACAUUUACAGACAUUAAGUUGUAAGCUUAGGAAGAAUGGUCCUAAGAAGAAAAAAACAUCACGUAGCAGUUUCCAAUUACUUACCCAGAAAUUAAAUAUUUUCUUGAAGCCAACAAUCAUCCUUUGCCUUUGCCUCAAACAUGAAGUCACUGGUAAUAGCUUUGAAGGAAUGGGAAAAAACAUAUACAUAUUUGAAUAAUGUUAUGCAAUGGUAAAACUGCUGUUGAAAAAUUGGAUCCAUUUUAAAACCUUAUAUAUUUUGAAUAUAUGUAUGUGAAGAGGUCUCAUUUGUUUAAUAAUAUUUAAUAACAUUUUAAGUCAACAAUAUGGAAAUUAUGUAGUGAGAAACAAAACAGUGGCUUGUAGCAGCAGGUUGUUUUGAUGCCUUUGAAUUGAUAACAAAUAAAUUGUGUCAUGAACUCCGUUGGCUAAGAAGA